rnacentral:rRNA from 1 species
GACGAACGCUGGCGGCGUGCUUAACACAUGCAAGUCGAACGCGCCUGUCCUCUGGGUUUCUGGGGGGUGGGUGAGUGGCGAACGGGUGAGUAACACGUGAGUAACCUGCCCCCUUCUUCGGGAUAACGGUCUGAAAGGGCUGCUAAUACCGGGUAUUCACUGGUCUCCGCAUGGGGUCUGGUGGAAAGGUUUUUUUCUGGUGGGGGAUGGGCUCGCGGCCUAUCAGCUUGUUGGUGGGGUGAUGGCCCACCAAGGCUUUGACGGGUAGCCGGCCUGAGAGGGUGACCGGUCACAUUGGGACUGAGAUACGGCCCAGACUCCGACGGGAGGCAGCAGUGGGGAAUAUUGCACAAUGGGCGCAAGCCUGAUGCAGCGACGCCGCGUGAGGGAUGGAGGCCUUCGGGUUGUGAACCUCUUUCGCCCGUGGUCAAGCCGCGACGUGGGUCGUGGUGAGGGUAGUGGGUAAAGAAGCGCCGGCUAACUACGUG